UUCAGUACUUGAUAAUGAGGGCUUUUUAAGAUUAGCGUAAGCUAUGGAUGUUGGUAUAAAAUUCUCCCUGGGAAAUAGGCUGCUAGAAAACUGUUUCCAGAAUUAUAUUCUUCAAUGUAUAGAGGAGUUUAGACACAUUAUUAAGUGGACCAGUUAAACUGUGAAAACGAAGAGUACUUCCUGAUGGAAGAAGUGGUUCAGUCAGGAAAAUUGAAACUAUUCAACAUAUCAAGGGGAAUAGAUAUAUUAGAAAGAACUAGCUACAAUAGUCAUGGAAGAACACUGACAGCGUAGAAGGAAGAGUGAACACCGCUCGGAAGAUACCGACUGCAGGGAGCUGCUACCAUUCCUGGGGCUCAGUGUUAUCACCGGAGCCCAUGAGCUUCAUGUAUGCAGGUCUAAGUCCUAAUUCUAAACCCUGAGGAGGAACUACCCAAAAGAAAUCACAAGCCCCGACCUUCAGAAUCUUGUCAUCUGAAUUAUAUGGUGAGAUAGAAGAGCAAGUUGUAAUGACUUACUAUAGUGUUUAUUGAUAUAUUAGGAACUAAUCUUACAGUUA